rnacentral:rRNA from 1 species
AGUGAACGCUGGCGGUAGGCCUAACACAUGCAAGUCGAACGGCAGCACAGUAAGAGCUUGCUCUUACGGGUGGCGAGUGGCGGACGGGUGAGGAAUACAUCGGAAUCUACUUUUUCGUGGGGGAUAACGUAGGGAAACUUACGCUAAUACCGCAUACGACCUACGGGUGAAAGCAGGGGAUCUUCGGACCUUGCGCGAUUGGAUGAGCCGAUGUCGGAUUAGCUAGUUGGCGGGGUAAAGGCCCACCAAGGCGACGAUCCGUAGCUGGUCUGGGAGGAUGAUCAGCCACACUGGAACUGAGACACGGUCCAGACUCCUACGGGAGGCAGCAGUGGGGAAUAUUGGACAAUGGGCGCAAGCCUGAUCCAGCCAUACCGCGUGGGUGAAGAAGGCCUUCGGGUUGUAAAGCCCUUUUGUUGGGAAAGAAAAGCAGCAGGUUAAUACCCCGCUGUUCUGACGGUACCCAAAGAAUAAGCACCGGCUAACUUCGUG